GAGGACUUAGCUUAAUUAAAGUGGUUGAUUUGCGUUCAAUUGAUGUAAGGUAUAGUCUUGCAGUCCUUA
rnacentral:tRNA from 1 species